UUUGAAGGAAAAAGGGUAAUACUUAUUAAGGAAACCCAUAUUAAAUGGCGGCCUUCUUUCUUAUUAGAGGAACUCGUCUCAUAAUCGACAAUCCUCGUUAUUUUUAACUUUUUUUCUUCUCUUAUACCGCCGUCUUAAGAUCAACUUUUGUUUUUCAAAUAAAUUUAGUUAGCAAGUCAGGUAAAGGUGAGGAUAAUAAAAAAGUGAAGAUAAGUUACUUAUAAAUGCCAUUUAUGAAUAUUAUAUAAACAUAAAAUUGAAAUAGGAUUUAAUAGUAAUUUUAAAUCAAUAUUUUAUAAUGAAAUAGUAAAACUAGGUGU
rnacentral:rRNA from 1 species